AUGCCAGUGACCAUUCCGAAACUGAAGUGAAGAAAUCCAGCAUACCAUCAGUUGCUGAGCCAUCAGAGGACCAGAGACCUAUAGUUGAAUUCCCACCAUUACUGAAUGACUUCCCACCACUCGAGACAUUGUUGCCUGAACCCUCACAGGCUGGGCUAUCAGCACCUGUAGUCAAUCCAACAUAUGAAAUAUCAGAGCAGCCAAUGGUGUAUGAAGACCCCUGUGAAGUCUCUGUUAAGUACAUGGAGAAACAUAAUAUUCAGCAGAUAUUAGAGGAGAUCAUACUAAAACUGCUGUACGAGAAGCCUGAUGACCCCUUGCAGUUCAUAUUGCUGCAGGUGCAGUCUAUGAUAAAUGCCCAGCAGGCAGAAACGGAGGGAAUAUUGGAUGAGAGCAAAGAUAGAGAGGAGUUUCUGGAAUAAAUCUGUGCACUCCUUUGGGCCCCUACUGACCUUGCUAUUGUGGUGUUCCAUGUGGCCUUCGCAGCAUCCUGCUUUUGCAACCAGUGAAAGUAACUUUGGAAAUGUCUGCUAGUAUCUCUGUUUCUUGAUUUUUCAUGUGAUUGUGCUUCCCCUUUAGUAUAAAUCCUGCAAUCUAGUGUCUUUAUGGACACAAACUCAAAUCUGAAAGUGCAUGAGCCUGCAUGCACAUAUGGCACAUUUUGAAAAGGCUGUUCUCAUGAAAUCUUGUAUGGUCUAUCCACAGCUCCCACGUGUAGGCCACCACUAAAUUAGACUUUUCUGUGCAGAGAAACCUCACAGCACAGACAAUACAAGUGCAAAAGCAAGUAGAAUUAAAAAGCAGCCCUGGACAACCCACAGUCCUCACUUUUUCAUGCUGCACUGGUGGCUUACUGUCUCAAACUAUGCAGUAUCACCAAUGCCCAUCUAACACUUUGAAGUCUGUGCUGGGAGAGGCUCAGCCAGUGUUUUUUCUGCUGUCUCAAAGCUCCUCUGAUGCAAAGAGCCAUCUCUUUGUUGCUUCCACACACUGUCAGUAGCUCACUCUUAACUAUCCCUGCUGGGUUCAGAUCACUCUGUUUUUGGUGCUGCCCUGCCUGUAUCAUUGCAAGUACAGUGUGUAUUUUGAUUAAAAGAACAGUAAAGCAACAGUUGCCUGCACGCUCUGUGGCUUCAGAAGGCACUGUCACUCGGGAAUGUGAGAGGUGAAUAAAACUAAACAAACCAAAGACA